UACGGAGGGGGCAAGCGUUGUUCGGAAUUACUGGGCGUAAAGGGCUCGUAGGUGGCCAACUAAGUCAGACGUGAAAUCCCCAGGCUCAACUUGGGAACUGCGUCUGAUACUGGAUGGCUUGAAUUCGGGAGAGGGAUGCAGAAUUCCAGGUGUAGCGGUGAAAUGCGUAGAUAUCUGGAGGAAUACCGGUGGCGAAGGCGGCAUCCUGGACCGAGAUUGACACUGAGUGAGCGAAAGCCAGGGGAGCAAACGGG
rnacentral:rRNA from 1 species